rnacentral:rRNA from 1 species
GACGAACGCUGGCGGCGUGCUUAACACAUGCAAGUCGAACGGAAAGGCCUGCCUUCCCUUGUGGAUUGCGGGUGCUCGAGUGGCGAACGGGUGAGUAACACGUGAGUGAUCUGCCCCCAACUUGGGUAUAAGCCUGGGAAACUGGGUCUAAUUCCCGAUAGGACUGCAGGGUGGUGCCUGUGGUGGAAAACGAUUUUCUAGUGGUUGGGGAUGAGCUCGCGGCCUAUCAGCUUGUUGGUGGGGUAAUGGCCUACCAAGGCGGCGACGGGUAGCCGGCCUGAGAGGGUGGACGGCCACAUUGGGACUGAGAUACGGCCCAGACUCCUACGGGAGGCAGCAGUGGGGAAUAUUGCACAAUGGGCGGAAGCCUGAUGCAGCGACGCCGCGUGGGGGAUGACGGCCUUCGGGUUGUAAACUCCUUUCGACCGCGAGGAAGCCACCUGGUUGGAAGGGUGGUGACGGUAGUGGUAGAAGAAGCACCGGCUAACUACGUG